ACAAUAUUUGGACCGUCUCGGUCUACCGAGCAAUAUCCACCCGCUCGGUGGAAGAUCUUCCCUUUGUCGA
rnacentral:pre_miRNA from 1 species